CGCCAAACGUGUUAUCCUGGCGUCUUGUCAAUUUUCUACUUGUUUCUGUCAUGUAGUUCCCCACGGUCUUCUUACCAAACUUAUGAUGUGCACAAGAAACAUGAAUAAAUGGUUAAUUCUAUACUGGUGUUCAGAUGGUUUAUCCUGCAACAGCCAGUACAGUACCUGAUGCAAAAUUUUAUGAUGCAGUUAUUGUUUGAAAUUAUAAAAAUCCAACACAGUUUGCUUUAGCAAAUAAAAGGUUUAAAAAUGUGUGAUCAAAGAGUUCCGUAAUGAAAAGCAUCAGUGUACUUAACUGGGAACGAACAAAGAAAAAAAUAUUAAAAAUAAAAAACUCAAUAUACACUGUGUGGGAAUGGACACCGGAUAUAGCUCGAAAAAUGAUCAAUCAAUAAGCAUUUGAUUCUGACACAUGAUAAUUUGAAAAAAUGGAUUUGACGGAUGCAUCCAUGGAUUUGUCAGCAGUAACUGUGACUGAGGAUAAUGGAAAAAAGUUUGUGUGCAGCAUAUGUACCUAUUCAACUGACUACAAAAGCAACCUGAAAAGGCAUAUGAAUGUACAAAGAGACAUACCAAGGACCAGCACUCCAAAAUCUAAAGAAAAGGCGAAUGAAAUAUCGAAGCCAUUAAAUAGUAUGUGUAUUGUAUAUAUACUGUUAUUGUGUUACGAUCAUCUUGGUCCAUUUUUACAUGCUAUCCCCAGUACACAUUGCUCAACU